rnacentral:rRNA from 1 species
GGAGGAGGCAAGCGUUAUCCGGAAUUAUUGGGCGUAAAGCGUCCGCAGGCGGCUUUUUAAGUCUGUUGUCAAAGGUCACAGCUCAACUGUGGAUCGGCAAUGGAAACUGGGAAGCUAGAGUGUGGUAGGGGUAGAGGGAAUUCCCGGUGUAGCGGUGAAAUGCGUAGAUAUCGGGAAGAACACCAGUGGCGAAGGCGCUCUACUGGGCCACAACUGACGCUGAGGGACGAAAGCUAGGGGAGCGAAAGGGAUUAGAUACCCCUGUAGUCCUAGCUGUAAACGAUGGAUACUAGGUGUUGGACGUAUCGACCCGUGCAGUACCGUAGCUAACGCGUUAAGUAUCCCGCCUGGGGAGUACGCACGCAAGUGUG